rfam:Prunus persica cultivar Lovell chromosome G6, whole genome shotgun sequence.
UUGUGAUGAUGAUUCAGUAACUAGUUGAGAGUGUCUAAGAAUGCUCAAUGGAACCUCGACAGUCAUGUCGAUUCUGAGCGGUUACCUGAGCAA